rnacentral:rRNA from 1 species
UGAGGAAUAUUGGACAAUGGACGAAAGUCUGAUCCAGCCAUGCCGCGUGCAGGAUGACUGCCCUAUGGGUUGUAAACUGCUUUUAUAUAGGAAGAAACACUCCCACGUGUGGGGGCUUGACGGUACUAUAUGAAUAAGGAUCGGCUAACUCCGUGCCAGCAGCCGCGGUAAUACGGAGGAUCCAAGCGUUAUCCGGAAUCAUUGGGUUUAAAGGGUCCGCAGGCGGCCUGUUAAGUCAGAGGUGAAAGCCAACAGCUCAACUGUUGAACUGCCUUUGAUACUGAUAGGCUUGAGUUAUUGUGAAGUGGUUAGAAUGUGUGGUGUAGCGGUGAAAUGCUUAGAUAUCACACAGAAUACCCAUUGCGAAGGCAGAUCACUAACAAUAUACUGACGCUCAUGGACGAAAGCGUGGGGAGCGAACGGGAUUAGAUACCCCGGUAGUCCACGCCGUAAACGAUGGAUACUAACUGUUCGACCUUCGGGUUGAGUGGUCAAGCGAAAGUGAUAAGUAUCCCACCUGGGGAGUACGCUCGCAAGAGUG